UACGUAGGGGGCAAGCGUUGUCCGGAAUCAUUGGGCGUAAAGAGCGUGUAGGCGGCCCGAUAAGUCCGCUGUGAAAGUCCAGGGCUCAACCCUGGGAUGCCGGUGGAUACUGUCGGGCUCGAGUCCGGAAGAGGAGUGUGGAAUUCCUGGUGUAGCGGUGGAAUGCGCAGAUAUCAGGAGGAACACCGAUGGCGAAGGCAGCUCGCUGGGACGGUACUGACGCUGAGGCGCGAAAGCGUGGGGAGCGAACAGG
rnacentral:rRNA from 1 species